rnacentral:misc_RNA from 1 species
UAUAAUUUUUUGUAAUCCGAAAAUGGAAUCAGAAUUUGAGCUAACCAAAAUUUUGUUAUUAUUUGACGACCACACGUGACAAUUAACAAGACUUCGCUAAUUAUUGACAAGGCAUGACAAUUAUUAUUAAAUAUUAAUAAAAAGACACUAGUGAAAAAUGUCUGUUAUAAAAUGCAGGUUUGCAACUAAUUGGGUUUGGAAGUGCAAUAAAUUAUUAUUAAACAUAAACACAAGAAGACUUAGUAAAAAUACACAAAGUGAUGAAAAAAAUGUUAUUCCUCCUCGUGAGGAAGGUAAAAUGCAGGGAGCAGUUUUAAAAAAAUUCUCUGAGCCUUUUGUUAUUGACAAUCUUGACAUACCUUCUAUCAAUGCAAAUGAGGUAUUGAUAGACGUGCAGUAUUGUACGCUCAAUGGUCCAGAUAUUUUAAAAAUGAAAAACUUACACAGAUCACCACCAAAGUUACCGGCAAUUUUGGGUUAUGAAGUAGCAGGAAAGUUGCUGGAAGUUGGGGACCAGGCUAAGAAGCAAGGGUUCAAAGUUGGAGAUAAAGUUGUUGCUUUAAAUAAAGUUCAGUUUGGAGGUUUAGCUGAGCGAUGUGUUGCUGAACUGACUGAUAUCUGGAAAAUUCCGUCGUCUAUUAAAACUUUAGACACCGUUUGUUUGAUGAAUAAUUAUCUCACGGCUCUAAUUGGUCUUGAAAAAAAAGCUGACCUCCAGGAAAAUGAAAUGGUUGUCAUAAAUGUUGGUCUUAGUGGAGUUGGUCUAGCUGCCGUUGAUAUUGCUGCUAAUGUCUUCAGAGCACAGGUGAUUGGAGUUUGUAAAUCAGAAGAUCGUACAGAAAUAGUACGUGAUAAAGGGGCAUUUGCAUCUUUGAAAUACAGUGAUAAGAAAUUAAUGAAUAAAAUAGUUGAAUUUGCUGCUGAGCGAGAUAUAAAAGAUGUUUUUGAUGGAGCUGAGGGUGAAAAAUUUAAAACAAUGUUAGAAUGUUUUACAAGUAUUUAUAAAGAAGAUCAUCAAAACAGUUUAUUACGUGAUGAUAACUUCGCAGUAUUAAUUGAACAUUUAUCAAGAGAAGGACGUAUGAUUAUCGCUGGAUUUGCUGUAACCAAAGAGGACUACGAUGAAGACAGCUCAACACAAUGUCCAUUUUCUCUCACGGGUAUUGACCUAGUGGAAUUCAAAGAAAAUAAUCUGGAGUCGUAUCGCGAGGCAGGCAAUGAUAUUUUGCAAUAUCACGAAGAAGGUUUAAUAAAACCUUCGUACUCGAUGGUGGUCGGUCUCCAUAAAAUCAAUGACGCGGUUAAAUUUAUAACUGAUUUAAAGUGUUCAGAUAAGGUUGUUGUCGAUCUUAAAAACCCUGAAGCUGAAAUAAAGUUAAAAGAUAAGUAAUUUAUAUAAUUAAUCCCUCAUAAAUUAUUUUACGACUAUUAAAUUUUUCUAAUAAAAAAUAUUUUUAAAAAUGAAUAACUGAUAUAUUUAAUAAUAAUAUUAGAUUUAUUAAUUUAAUAUGUGAAGAAAGAGUUAACGAAUGGCUUGUUAACGACACAAAAUACUUGUAUGAUUACUCUAGAAACUCAACAACACUUAUUAUUUAUUACCCAAUAGCCUCUUAUCGAAAUUAGUAGACCAGUAGUAUAGUUAUAAACCAUUUACCGUUAAUAUAUCACAGCGACAGGAGUCACUAUUUAUUUGCAAAUAUACUCGUGAACGAACUCUCAAAUAACCGUUCACAGGCUGAGAAACAACUGCAAGAUAUUUAAUUUAACUGUAAAAAAGUAAACUACUGAAUGGUUAAUGCUCAAUGCAAGAAUUAUUGCCGUUUUAUUUUGACAAGUUGUAUAUUAUUCAUUAUUUAAUUCUGAACUAAAACUACCGGCAAUUCUCACUAAUAUUUAUAAAUUUUUUAUUUACAAACGUUCCCACGUUCAGCUUAAUUUAAAAAUAAAAAAUAGUUUUAUCUAUUGAACAAAGUCUCCAACUAUCUAUCAUUAUUGUGAUAACUAUGGCAUUGCAGUAGACAAUCACAAGCUUGGAUAAAAAAAAUAAAACGCCCCCAUAUUCCUGGUCAGGGAUACGUGAGUUCAAGGAGAAGACCCUUGGGCAUGGGCGUGGUGCUUUUAAUAGUUGACAGCUUACUUGGCCAUGCAUUUUUUAAGUUACUAAAGGCUGCUGAAAAAUUCACUGAUACCAUUAAAUAAAAUACGAUUGUCUUGCGCAAUC